rnacentral:rRNA from 1 species
AGUGAACGCUGGCGGUAGGCCUAACACAUGCAAGUCGAACGGCAGCACAGGAGAGCUUGCUCUCUGGGUGGCGAGUGGCGGACGGGUGAGGAAUACAUCGGAAUCUACUUUUUCGUGGGGGAUAACGUAGGGAAACUUACGCUAAUACCGCAUACGACCUACGGGUGAAAGCAGGGGAUCUUCGGACCUUGCGCGAUUGAAUGAGCCGAUGUCGGAUUAGCUAGUUGGCGGGGUAAAGGCCCACCAAGGCGACGAUCCGUAGCUGGUCUGAGAGGAUGAUCAGCCACACUGGAACUGAGACACGGUACAGGCUCCUACGGGAGGCAGCAGUGGGGAAUAUUGGACAAUGGGCGCAAGCCUGAUCCAGCCAUACCGCGUGGGUGAAGAAGGCCUUCGGGUUGUAAAGCCCUUUUGUUGGGAAAGAAAUCCAGCUGGUUAAUACCCGGUUGGGAUGACGGUACCCAAAGAAUAAGCACCGGCUAACUUCGUGCCAGCCGCCGCGGUAA